UCAUUGGGUUGCAAAAUCGCAGCUAAACCCCUCAACUUUUACUCUUUCACACAGCCUGGAUUGGGCUGUUCGCGCAGGCGGGGACCGGUCUCUCCUUCAGGGACCGGUUCCCGAAGGUCGUCCCAGCGCAGCCAGAGCUGCUGCGCGCGAUGCAUCCGGUCUCUCCUUGGGGGACCGGUCUCUCGGGGACCGGUCUCUUAGGCAGGGACUGGUUCCUGAGAGCUAAUUUCUCAGGACUUAGCCGAUUUUUCAGCUGUCUCAUUUCAUACGCGUUCGGGGACCGGUCUCUCCCACCAGGGACCGGUCUCCGAGAGCUCAAAACUGCAGAAUGCAGAUUUUGAUUCUAUAGCUCUCGAAAACCUCUCGUAACUCGCUUUUAAUCAUUUUAACACCUUCAGACUUUUCGCAGUGUAUCGUCCUCGCACUUUGGUCAAUUUCACUAAAGUUCGACAUCUUUAUUUUCCGAAUUUUCGGUAUAUUACACUAACCUCCAAUUAGAGAAACCAAGGGUUAAUUUAGAUCAAAACCCUUAUACCACAAAAACUCCAAUUUUAAUCCUAGCAUGACAUAAUCUCCAAUCAACCC
rnacentral:lncRNA from 1 species